AACCAUAAACACAACAAUGUGGUGACGUAAUGGAGGUGCAACCAAUAACGUUAGUGUAUUGCUUCAAGCUGCGAGAAAAAUACUUUAAAAUUACAGCAUUCUUUCCCGAAGAAAAGAGAACAGUUCGAGGGCCUAAGGACGGGAAUCCGAUUGAGGAACACCCCAGAAAUGGCUCGGCUACGAUGUUCCGAUAAAGAAGUCACGCCGGGUGUUGAAUAUUGUCAGAUUCAGAUGCAUCAAUGAGAGUCAGUAAUGCAGUGGAUAACUAUGAGGAUGAUCACAUCCACAUGCCCCACAGCUGUGAUGCAGAAUCACAAUGGGAGGAUCAAUCUGUCUUUGGCCACAACCUGAUCUUCUCAGAGAGACUCUCCAGCGUCUUGAUGCUCUUUAGCGAAAGUAUGAGCAGCACAGACUAACGUUACAUGAAGAAUCUUACAACGCUUCGAAAAGAAUAAAAAAGGCACAUGACGUGAACAUUGCGGAAUCUGUAAGGCGCCUCCAUAAUUCAGAGAACAACCCACACAAAUACGUUCCACAAACCAGAAUAAAUUCAUCACAUAACCUGGCUGUGACCACUUACCUCUUCGAAGAAUUAAGGUCAACUUUUACAGACGUUGACCCUGAAUGUGUAAAAGCAGGUUGGAAGAUGUAUUUUGAGACUUUGCGGAGGAAGUAUUCUUUGGCUCAGCCUGAAAAGGCCCAGAAAAGAAAAACUAUGACGAGCAUUGCAAAGAACCUUCAAAGAAAGCGACUGUUGCUGGAGACCAGGUCCGGGGUUGUACAAACCAACACAGAAAAGGAACUUUGGAAGACCGCAACAAUAGAACUGAUGUCUGAUGAAGAUGAUGCUAUUGUUGAUGGAAGGCCAGUGUGAAUGGUGAGGUCUCCACCAAUCUGCUCUCUGCUAGGUACUAUAAAACAGACUAGAGGCUGACCCACACUAUGCGUCACACCACCAGCGUAUCAUGGCAGUUUGAAAAAUGUUAACUCGUAUAAAAAAAAAAAAAA